AUAGUUUUAGUUUAUUUUAGAAAAACAUUGGAUUUUGAGUCUACAGAGGGUGUUAAAACCAAACUAUG
rnacentral:tRNA from 1 species